rnacentral:lncRNA from 1 species
GCAGUUCCUCACCUACCUUCUCUGCUCACCGCUGUGUGCUAGCAAUCGGAGGACCCUUGGCACACGGAGCGACAGGGGCCUCCCCCACAGACACCUCAUUUUGGGAAAGAAGAUCUAAAAAAUAAUUAGAAGUAGUAUAUUAUUCCAUUCUCACACUGCUAUAAAGAACUACCUGAAACUGGGUCAUCUUUGAAGAAAAGAGUCUUAAUUGACCCACAGUUCCACAGGCUGUACAGGAGGCAUGGCUGGGGAGGCCUCAGGAAACUUACAAUCAUGGCAGAAGGUGACAGGGAUGCCAGCACGUCUUCACAUGGUGGCAGGUGAGAGACAGAACGAAGGCGGAGGUGCUACACACUUUUAAAAGAAGCAGGUCUCAUGAGAAUUCCAUCACAAGACAGCACUAGAAGGAUGGUGCUAAACCACUAGAAACCACCCUUAUGAUUCACCUUUCACCAGGCCCCACCUCCAACACUCAGUAUCACAAUUCAACAUGAGAUUUGGGUAAGUACACAGAACCAAACCAUAUCAUUUUGCACCUGGCCUUUACCAAAUGUCAUGUCCUUUUCACGUUUCAAAAAACAAUUAUGCCUUCCCAAGAAUCCUCCAAAUUCUUAACUCGUUCCAGAAUUAACUCAAAAGUCCCAGUCCAAAGUCUCAUCUGAGACAAGGCAAGUACUACUCCUCUGCCUAUGAGCCUGUAAAAUAAAGAAACAAGUUAGUUAGUUCCAAGAUACAGUGCAGGUACAGGCAUCGAGUAAAUGCUCCCAUUCCAAAAGGGAGAAAUUGGCCAAAACAAAGGGGCUAUAGGCCUCUUGCAAGCAAAACCCAGGAAGGCAGUCAUUUAAUCUCCAAGCUCCAAAAUACUCUCCUUUGACUCCAUGUCUCACAUCCAAGGCACACUGAUGCAAGGGGUGGGCUCCCAAGGCCUUGGGCAGCUCUGCCUCUGUGGCUUUGCAGGGUACAACCCCCAAAGCUACUUUCAUGGGCUGGGAUUGAGUGCCUGCAGCUUUUUCAGGCGAACAGUGCAUGCUGUCAGUGGAUCUAUCAUCCUGGGGUCUGGAAGAUGGUGGCUCUCUUCUCACAGCUCCAUUAGGCAGUGCCCCAGUGGGAACUUGGUGGGAGCUCCAACCCCACAUUUCACCUUCACACUGCCCUUGUAGAGGUUCUUCAUGAGGGAUCCAGUCCUGCAGCAGACUUCUGCCUGGACAUCCGGGUGUUUCCAUACAUCCUCUGAAAUCUAGGCAGAGGCUCCCAAGUCUCAACUCUUGCCCUUUGCAUACCCACAGGCCCAACACCAUAGGGAAGCCAUCAAGACUUGGGGCUUACACCCUCUGAAGCAAUGACCUGAGCUGUACUGUGGCCCCUUUUAGCCAUGGCUGAAACGGGAGCAGCUGGGAUGCAGGGCACCAUGUCCCAAGGCUGCACAGAGCAGUAAGGCCCUGGACCUGGCCCACGAAACCAUUUCUCCCUCCUAGGCCUCUGGGCCUGUAAUAGGAAGGGCUGCUAUGAAGGUCUCUGAAAUGUCUUAGAGGGAUUUUCCCCAUUGUCUUGGCUAUUAAUAUUUGGCUCCUUUUUACUUAUGUAAAUUUCUGCAGCUGGCUUGAAUUACUUCCCAGAAAAUAGGUUUUUCUUUUCUACUACAUGGCAGGUUGAAAAUUUUCCAAGCUUUUAUACUCUGCUUUCCUUUUAAAUAUAAGUUCCAAUAUCAAACCACCUCUUCGGAAAUGCAUAUGAGCAUAUGCUGUUAGAAGCAGCCAGGUCACUUCUUGAAUGCUUUGCUGCUUUGAAAUUUCUUCCACCAGAUACUCUAAAUAAUCUCUCUCAAGUUCAAAGUUUCACAGAUCCCUAGAGCAGGGGCACAAUGCCACCAGUCUCUUUGCUGAAGCAUAGCAAGAAUGACCUUUACUCCAGUUCCCAAUAAGUUCCUCAUCUCCCUCUAAGACCUCCUUGGCCUGGACUUCAUUGUCCAUAUCUCACUAUCAGUAUUUUGGUCAAAGCCAUUCAACAAGUCUCUAGGAAGUUCCAAACUUUCCCUUAUCUUCUUGUCUUCUUCUGAGCCUUCCAAACUGUUCCAACCUCUGCCCAUCCAAAGCUGCUUCCACAUUUUCAGGUAUCUUUUGUAGCAAUGCCCCACUUCUCUGAUACCAAUUUCCUAUAUUAGUCCAUUCUCACACUGCUAUAAAGAACUAUCUGAGACUGGGUAAUCUAUGAAGAAAAGAGGUUUAAUUGACUCACAAUUCUGCAGGCUGUACAGGAGGCAUGGCUGGGGAGGCCUCAGAAAACUUACAAUCAUGGCAGAAGGUGAAGGGGAAGCCAGCACAUCUUCAUAUGAUGGCAGGAACUUUAUAUGUUAUAGAAGUUAGCCCCAAGAAUGAAAUCGUGUCCUUUGCCAAAACAUGGAUGGAGCUAGAGGCCUUUAUCCUAAGUGAGUUAACGCAGGAACAGAAAGCCAAAUAGUGCAUGUUCUCACUGAUAAGUGGGAGCUAAACUAUGGGUUCACAAAGGCAUGCAGAGUGGUACUGUGGACAUUGGAGACUCAGAAUGGGGGAGGCUAGGAGGGAGGUAAGGGAUGAAAAAGUACCUGUUGGGUACAAUGUACACUACUUGGGUGACGAUGGGUCCACUAAAAUCCCAGAUUUAACCACUGUACAAUUCAUCCAUGUAACCAAAACCCACCUGUACCCCAAUGCUAUGAAAAUAAAUAAAACCAAAUUAGCUCUGUUUCUGUUAGAUGAGAUGCAAAUAUUUUCCCAAGUUUGUCCUUUGUCUUUUGACUUUGUUUAUGGUGUUUCACUCAUGCAGAUGUUUUUUAUUUUCAUGUUUUUAACUUGUCAUUAUUUUCUUUCAUGUCUUCUGGAUUUUAAGUCAUGUUAUCAAGGCUUUCCCACUCUGAUAUUAUAAAUGAAUUUUUCCUCAUUUCUCUUAGAACUUUGAUUCUUUCACUUCCCACAUUUAACCUUCCACGUAUCCAGAAUUUCCCCUAGCAUAAGUUGAUACGGUCCCAAUGUUUCUUUUUUUUUUUUCCCAAAUGGCCACUCAUUUAUACCAACACCAUUUAUUGAAUCGUCUAUAGUCCCCACUGAUUUGAAAUGCCAGCUUUACAUACCAAAGUCCUGUAUGCAUUUGCCUCUGUUCUGUUUGGUAGGUCUAUUCAAGCUCCAGUUCCCAAAAGUGUUGAGUGUCGCUUAAAAUCUAGAAGGGCUGGUUUCUAGUUUUCCAUAAUUGCUCCUCUUUUCUAGUGUCCUCUGUCCUAUUAGGGCUUAUUGAUUUUUAAAUAUGAUUUGUGGAUUCAGUUUUCUUUAGUUCUAGUGAGCAACAAAAACAACCAAGAAAAAAAUAAAAAAAACCCUCCCUGUUUUCCUUUCUUUCUUUCUUUUUUUAAUCAAGAUCACCUUAAGUUUAAAAAUUAACGUAGGAUAACUUGACAUAUUUUAUGAUUUUUAUGUUACUCUCCAAAAAUAUAAUAAGUGGUUCUAUUUAUUCAACUCUACUCCUUUGUCCUGCAGGAACAUUUUGUUUCCUUAUCAAGUCUGAUAUUGUCUUUUGGUCUGAGAUAGACAUAUUUAAAAAAAUUGUGUUCAUUGAUUUCUAUCUUA